rnacentral:rRNA from 1 species
AACACAUGCAAGUCGAACGUGAGGGGGUAGCAAUAUCCCUGAAAGUGGCGCACGGGUGAGUAAUACGUAGGUAACCUGCCCUGAAGAGGGGGAUAACAGCUGGAAACGGCUGCUAACACCGCAUGACACCGGACAUUCGGGAGAGUGACUGGUGAAAACUCUGGUGCUUCAGGAGGGGCCUGCGGCCGAUUAGCUAGUUGGCGGGGUAAGAGCCCACCAAGGCGAUGAUCGGUAGCUGGUCUGAGAGGACGAUCAGCCACACGGGAACUGAGACACGGUCCCGACUCCUACGGGGGGCAGCAGUGAGGAAUAUUGGGCAAUGGGCGGAAGCCUGACCCAGCAACGCCGCGUGGAGGAAGACGGCCUUCGGGUUGUAAACUCCUUUUUUGGGGGAAGAGAGAGGACGGUACCCCGAGAAUAAGUCACGGCUAACUACGUGCCAGCAGCCGCGGUAAUACGUAGGUGACAAGCGUUAUCCGGAAUUACUGGGCGUAAAGCGCACGCAGGCGGUGCGUUAAGUCUGACGUGAAAUCUCCCGGCUUAACUGGGAGGGGUCGUUGGAGACUGGCGUGCUUGAGGCGAUGAGAGGGGUGUAGAAUUCCCGGUGUAGUGGUGGAAUGCGUAGAUAUCGGGAGGAAUACCAGUGGCGAAAGCGGCACCCUGGCACUAGCCUGACGCUCAGGUGCGAAGGCGUGGGGAGCGAACGGGAUUAGAUACCCCGGUAGUCCACGCGGUAAACGAUGAAUACUAGGUGUAGGAGGAGUGAAAUCCUUCUGUGCCGAAGCAAACGCGCUAAGUACUCCGCCUGGGGAGUACGGCCGCAAGGCUA